GAUAAACGCUGGCGGCGUGCCUAAUACAUGCAAGUCGAACGAAGAGUUUGUAGCAAUACGGGCUCUUAGUGGCGAAUGGGUGAGUAACGCGUUGGUGACCUGCCCCGAAGAAGGGGAUAACAGCUCGAAAGGGCUGCUAAUACCCCAUGUGGUCAGCGGCUUUAGAAACCGCUGUCUAAAGCAGUAAUGCGCUUCGGGAGGGGCCUGCGUCCCAUCAGCUUGUUGGUAGGGUAAUGGCCUACCAAGGCUGCGACGGGUAGGGGGCCUGAGAGGGUGGCCCCCCACAUUGGCACUGAAACACGGGCCAAACACCUACGGGUGGCAG
rnacentral:rRNA from 1 species